GACGAACGCUGGCGGCGUGCCUAAUACAUGCAAGUAGAACGCUGAAGGAGGAGCUUGCUUCUCUGGAUGAGUUGCGAACGGGUGAGUAACGCGUAGGUAACCUGCCUGGUAGCGGGGGAUAACUAUUGGAAACGAUAGCUAAUACCGCAUAAUAGCAGUUGUUGCAUGACAACUGUUUGAAAGGUGCAAUUGCACCACUACCAGAUGGACCUGCGUUGUAUUAGCUAGUUGGUGGGGUAACGGCUCACCAAGGCGACGAUACAUAGCCGACCUGAGAGGGGGAUUGGCCACACUGGGACUGAGACACGGCCCAGACUCCUACGGGAGGCAGCAGUAGGGAAUCUUCGGCAAUGGACGGAAGUCUGACCGAGCAACGCCGCGUGAGUGAAGAAGGUUUUCGGAUCGUAAAGCUCUGUUGUAAGAGAAGAACGAGUGUGAGAGUGGAAAGUUCACACUGUGACGGUAUCUUACCAGAAAGGGACGGCUAACUACGUG
rnacentral:rRNA from 1 species